UCGAACGAGCGAGAGAGAGCUUGCUUUCUUGAGCGAGUGGCGAACGGGUGAGUAACGCGUGAGGAACCUGCCUCAAAGAGGGGGACAACAGUUGGAAACGACUGCUAAUACCGCAUAAGCCCACGGCUCGGCAUCGAGCAGAGGGAAAAGGAGCAAUCCGCUUUGAGAUGGCCUCGCGUCCGAUUAGCUAGUUGGUGAGGUAACGGCCCACCAAGGCGACGAUCGGUAGCCGGACUGAGAGGUUGAACGGCCACAUUGGGACUGAGACACGGCCCAGACUCCUACGGGAGGCAGCAGUGGGGAAUAUUGCACAAUGGGGGAAACCCUGAUGCAGCGACGCCGCGUGGAGGAAGAAGGUCUUCGGAUUGUAAACUCCUGUUGUUGAGGAAGAUAAUGACGGUACUCAACAAGGAAGUGACGGCUAACUACGUGCCAGCAGCCGCGGUAAAACGUAGGUCACAAGCGUUGUCCGGAAUUACUGGGUGUAAAGGGAGCGCAGGCGGGAAGACAAGUUGGAAGUGAAAUCCAUGGGCUCAACCCAUGAACUGCUUUCAAAACUGUUUUUCUUGAGUAGUGCAGAGGUAGGCGGAAUUCCCGGUGUAGCGGUGGAAUGCGUAGAUAUCGGGAGGAACACCAGUGGCG
rnacentral:rRNA from 1 species